CUUUAUUGGAGAGUUUGAUCCUGGCUCAGGAUGAACGCUGGCGGCGUGCCUAAUACAUGCAAGUCGAGCGAAUGGAUUAAGAGCUUGCUCUUAUGAAGUUAGCGGCGGACGGGUGAGUAACACGUGGGUAACCUGCCCAUAAGAUUGGGAUAACUCCGGGAAACCGGGGCUAAUACCGGAUAACAUUUUGAAC
rnacentral:rRNA from 1 species